rnacentral:rRNA from 1 species
AACGAACGCUGGCGGCAUGCCUAACACAUGCCAGUCGAACGAGACCUUCGGGUCUAGUGGCGCACGGGUGCGUAACGCGUGGGAACCUGCCCUUAGGUUCGGAAUAACUCCCCGAAAGGGGUGCUAAUACCGGAUAAUGUCUUCGGACCAAAGAUUUAUCGCCUUUGGAGGGGCACGCGUUGGAUUAGCUAGUUGGUAGGGUAAAAGCCUACCAAGGCGACGAUCCAUAGCUGGUCUGAGAGGAUGAUCCGCCACACUGGGACUGAGACACGGCCCAGACUCCUACGGGAGGGAGCAGUGGGGAAUAGAGGACAAUGGGCGAAAGCCUGAUCCAGCAAUGCCGCGUGAGUUAUGAAGGCCUUAGGGUUGUAAAGCUCUUUUACCCGGGAUGAUAAUGACAGUACCGGGAGAAUAAGCUCCGGCUAACUCCGUG